UAUAUGCAUAUAUAUAUAAAUAAAUAAAGCAUAUUAGUCAUGUUAUGAAAUAUUAAUCACAUUUACAUAUGGUGUGUACCUUUAUUUGUUUCAUAGCUCCGUCAUAUGAUUUUUCUUUUUUUUUUGUUGAUGAUUUGUUCUUUUGUUUAAAGAGUUGUCCCAAACGAUAUAUUGCAUAUGUAUAUAUUAUUAUCUCCUACUUUGUCAUUCUUCUCAUGGGUUUUUUUUUUUAAGACCCAUGGGUAGAAUCCCUUCCUCAAUCAAAGAACAAUAUAUUUCCAUGCGAGCAUAGUAUGGAUCCACCUCUCUGCCGUGAUUUGUUCCCUCGCAUCUUGGAAACAGAUGGGAUCUAUCUUUAUCAACAUUCAAUGAACGAUUAUAUAGUUCUUGAUGGAGAUCUCCCGUUGUGCUAUCGUUAUUCAAAAAAUGAUUUGGCUGUUGAAUAUCGUUCUCGUUCGGGUGUAACACAAGGUUGGAAAAGGUGGAUUUCUUGUGUCGCUACACGUUUCUCAACUCCUUUAUCUUCAGCUAAGAUCUUAUCUCCUAUGCUUGCUUCUUCUGACCUUGAGAUAUAUCGUGUAAAAUCAAGUUUAGAUCAAUUAGUGUCAUAUUGGAGUAAGGCAACCCACACCUUUAUUGUAAAUUGGGGAGAGUUUACUAUAACCUUGGAGGAUGUUUAUGCAUUACUUCUUUUGCCGAUUUUUGGUACAACUUCAUUGGUAUCUCCUUUAUCAAAUGAUGAACAAUCUCUGUUAUCAUCCUUAACCCUAGCCGUAGAGGAUUUAAAGUAAAGGUAUAUGAAAAAGAAACAGUAUGACUUGCUUGAUUGGGUGAGAUAUUUUCACCAAGAAGAUAGUCAAGAUUUGGUAGAAUUAGCAUCUUGUAUUUCUUUAUGGUUGAGUAGAUAUAUUUUCCCCUCAAAAACUUCUAGAAGAACAGUCCAAAGCGCCAUGUUUCCGUUGGCCUACAGACUCGCUUACGGGAAGCACUUUCCUCUAGGAGCUGCGUAUCUUGGAACUUUGUAUCAUAACCUUGAUUCCAUCAAUACUGAUGCCAAUUCUUAUAGUGAAAAUAAGGAGGCGAUAAGUUCAAUAGAUGCAUGUUUCCUCCAGAUGUUCAUUUGGGAGCAUUUUCCAAAACUUGCACCUAUCCGCAAGUCACUGUAACCUCGAGAACCUCGUCCUUGGGCAUGGGUAAGUUCGAAGUGUUGGGAAACCUUGUGUAAUGUUACAAAGGAUGUUUCGAAUUUUACAUUUUGCCCUUACCUUACCAAUAAUUGCACCUAUUUUACCCUCGAUAUGUACCCAGGAAGUGUAGUACCAUUGACAGAUGAGGUUCGUUCUUCUUUCACUACUUCAACUGGUGAAGCAGGAUUUUGGUUUGUUUUUUUGCCUUCCCCGAUCACUGUUAUGUCUUCGAGAUGAUCCGAAAUCUUUAUCUUGGUCAUUUGUUUCAUAUCGCCCUGAUCGUGUGGCUAGAAAAUUUGGGUUUGAUCAACAUGUUCCUCAUGAUCGGAAGAUAGGGAAUUUAGCAAAAGCAAAACAGUCAUGUUUGUUGGGUUCCUUCCAACUCUCAAAGCAAUCUCACGACACAUUUUGACUACCCGAUAAAGAAAGAGAAGGUGGGGUUUCUGUUAAAUUUGCUAACAUAUGGAUGUGACAUCGUUGUACUGGAUUAAUCAGUCAAGGUGAGGCUUGUGACCGAGAGAAAGACGUGGAUUUAUCGUCAGGUAUCUCCUCGCUCGCUCAUCUUUUCUUAAUAAUGCUAAAUCUUUGAUAGUUUAUACAAGAUAAUAUGACUUUUGUUGUUGGAAAUAGGGGUGUAUGUUCCUUCGCAAAAGUCGCCUCCUUUAGCACCCUCCGAAGUCUGUUUAGUUGAUGAGCGUCAUACUCCUGCCAAUCUUAAUAUCGUGUCCAUAGGAGAUGACGUAAUGGUAGCUUUAGUAGGUAAACCUUCUGACGCUUUGGGUGGUAACUCUCACGGGAAUGAUGUAGCAGUUUGACCAAACUCAGAACCACGACCCUUCCAUUGUUCAGGAACUAAUGGUGACAGCGAUGCUACCACGAACUUGAUCAUUACAAGAUACCCACUUGUCCCUUCUUCUAGUAGCAGCACAUUUCAAAGUACUAUCACACAUGAAUUAGCUCCCACAACUACACCUUUAAAGGCAACCGGGUUUGCAGGUUUCUCUAGAACUCUUAAUCCGUUUUCUUUAUCUCAGACGCAUGCCACAUACACUGAUCGAAGCACUCCUGAACUGUCCUUGCCAACUCCCCAAGCGGUCUUUUAGCUGCCGGCUCUAUGCAUGUAAGUUUGGAGCGUAGUGAAGACUUAACAACAUUAGUAGGAAGAGAUUCAAUUCAUUUGUCAUCACAUGAGUCUCAUGCAUCACAAACGCAUGCCACAGACACUGAUCGAAGUACUCUUGAACUGUGCUUGCCAACUCCUCCAAACGAUCUUUUAGAUGCUAGCUCUAUGCAUGUAAGAUUGGAGCGUAGUGAAGACUUAACUGUUGGUAUUAUAUUUUACCAGGAUCUUAGAUCUACUUACAAGUAUGUUGAUUUAACAACCUAAUAUUGAACUUCUAAAACGAUGAACUAAACACAUAAAAGUUAGAAUAACUUACAGUGAUUGCAGCGGAAUUAAUGUCUCCUUCCACUCAGAUCUCUAACCCUUGAUUCCUGUCUGUAGCAGAGUAUAAUCAAGAUCUGAGCCCGAAAGUUCUUCAGUUGGAUGUGAUCCUUCACAGUCUUCCAAACUAUAAUGAGGUACUGAAUGAUGUGUGUGGGCUUUUCUCUCUCACUAGGAAUUUCGAAAUUUCUCUCUUAUUUUCUCUCUUGAUUUCGUGUGACACACAAUGCAAAGCAAAGUUUUCUCAUUCUUUCAAGAAGAGUAGAGAGGGGGCGGCUAUAAAUAGGAAAAGGGAAGACCACAACUUUCCAAAUAAACAGUUUCCUCUUUUACUGUGUAAUUGAAUAACUGCCUUAUUUAGUGUGAUUCACCACUUUCCUAUUUAGGCUAGGCUUUGAUUAGCAAUUAUAUGGCAAAUUAAAUUGAAAAUAAUAAUUGGGAAAUAUGCAAUCAUGUGGCCGGCCAUGGUGUGUAUGGGCCUCACAUGGAUUUUGCAGUUUCCUCAAUUUUAUUUCUAUUUCUCCAAAAAUGCCAUUUUUCCAAUUCUAAUCAUUUAAAUGCCAAAACUAAUUAUUUAAUAACUAAAAUAGAUUAUUAAAUAAUAUUGCCAUUUAAAAUAAUUAUUAAUUUAGACAUACAAAGUCUCAUAAUUAAUAAUUAAACCUAGAAACCCUUUUAUUUACAAUUUCAUCCCUAAACUGUGAGAAUUCACAAAUUAGACAUAGUCUAACUUUUAGAAUUAUAAUUGAUUAAUCAUAAAUCAAUUAUAGAGUCUUACAAACAGUAUAGUCUCAACUAGAAUGGGGACCAUGGAUCUAUAUUCUGAACUUCCAAUAAGUUGAACCGAUUUACCAAGUAAAUCCCUAACUUAUUAAUUCCUCGUUGAAUCCACUCUUAGAACUCAGAACUGCACUCUCAGACUUAUAUAGAGCAUAUCAUAUGUUUCACGAGAUCAAUAUGCUAUCUCAUUUAACCAUUGUUAUAAUCUUAAUGUGAUUUAGAGAUCCUCUAUAUAGAUGAUUUACAUCGAGACGGGACCAAUUUACCGUUUACACCCCUCAAUGUAUUUUUCCCAUUUGAACACUUAGUUACCUGUAAAUGAUGUUUUAGUGAUCUAAUAUAUAGUCACUGAAACAAGAGCUCAUCCAUUUACUUCUAUUUAACUAAGCUCAAAAGGAAUCAUCACUUUACUUCUAUACACCAGUAGAAGCUAUAGAUUUCCAUAUUUAUGUUUAGCACUCUCAUUCAGUUAUGCUAUCAUGAUCCCAAAAUAUAUGUA